AAAAAAAAAGAAAAAGAAAAAGAAGAAGUUGCAUACUUAACACAGAAAAGGCACAGCAGGAGCUCAUACAGUCAGAGGAAGCAAGUGUUUGGCUUCAUGUGCUCGGAUGAAACACAAUGGCAACUUCCUGUUUUCUUUCUACUCGAAAGAACUUCCCACAACAUCAGAUGCACGUAUAGUCACCAAUAAUAAAUAAAGAAGAAGAAGUGAAGUCUAGCCUUCACAAUGAGGAGCUUUGACUGACAACAGUAGUGUGAGUGUGCAGCGAUGGAGAAGCUCGGAGAAGAUGGCUUUGAGAGAUGUGAACAGUUUGGGGACUGGUCCAGCUCUGAACACUGGGAUGAGGAUCACAGGGACAGCAGUGGCUUUGGGGACUGGGCUAGUUUUAAAGACGGACUCAGUGAAGAGAGUGAUUCUGCAGACUUAUUGUCUCAGGAAGGACAGACUUCUGGCCAUGAACACAAGGUAGAGAGAGGUGAUGAGCCCUGGAUUGUGAUCCAUGAUUGCUUUCAUGUUGAGGAGAUUGUGAGAGAUACAGACAUGAUGGAAUUUCUGCCACUGUCACAGCUACUGCACAAUUCCACACACACCCCUCCUCCUCCAGCAGUACUAUUAAGAAAGGGUGCUAGCUUUUACCACAGUUUGCUGUGUGAGCCGAAGUCUUCAAGCGUAACGAGUCCUAAACCCAAUUUGCAUUCCCACAAGCAGCUCACUGAUGCACUACAGCUCAAACAAUCCAAUACUUCACAGAACACGGAUUUACUUCACCUUGGGUUUGAGAAGCCUCAAAGUUCCUCUGCUGCUCUCAUCCAAACUAAGCUAACAGCACCCACGUGGUGUCAGACUUCUCCUGGAUUCUUCUACCAGAUCUCUCACCGAUGGCUCAGCCAGAACAGUUUGAGACUACAGAAUAAUCAGGACAACAAAAAAGACCUGCUGUAAUGACAGUGAAACACUGACUACGUUUACAUGGACAGCAGUAAUCUAAUUAUUAUCUUACUCUGAGUAAGACAAUAUAGUGAUUAAGGUGUUUACAUGAGUCGCUUUUAGAAUACUCCUUACAUGUUCCCGUUUUACAUGUUAUAGAACGUAAUUAGAUUAACGGUACAUGCAUUAUGUCAUCGCGCCACGCCGUCCAACGUUCCCUCCAGAAUUUCACAUAUCAACAUAUAGUUCAUCUUCGUUAUGGUACCGUAUACAGUUUUGGGUGUUUUUAUAAAAAAAAAUUUACGAACGCUUUAAGUGCAGUUAAUUAUUUGUCCUGCUAUAUGUGCAAGUAGACGACUGCUUGAAGCCGUGGGCUGCGUCCCAAACCGCGUACUUACCGUCUAUAUAGUAGCCGAGAUGCAUGUAUUUUUCCCCACUACAGGCCUAUAUUAAGCAAGUAUGCCGUUUGGGAAGCAGCUGUGCUCUCUUGUUCGCCGUGAAACGUUGAGCACUGCCGUGUGUGAUCAUGUCCUGUCGCAAAAUGCGGUGAAAACUCUCACACGACGUUAAUAGUGUGAUUAAGGUGUUUACAUAUCUGUAAUACACGUUGAUAAUGCGACUAAAACAGGAGUACUCCACAUGUCUUAAUUCCAUUAGUGUUUACUUUGAAUAUGACCUUAAUCAGAUUAAGGUAAUUAAAAAUUGCUGUUUACAUAGUAGUUUCUUAAUCACAGUAUUGUCUUAAUCGGAUUAAUAGUGGAUUAUUGCUGUCCAUGUAAACGCACUGACUGAUAAACUGUGCACAGAAUAACAUCAGUCUUUCUGAUAAUUGAGAUAAUAAAAACAAGUGUACCAACACAGGAAAAUACUUUAUUGUUGAGCUUCACACAUUAGGUGUCUAUUCUGAAUGCAAAAUAAAUUCACUCUAUAUGUACAGGGACAUCUCAAAAAAUUAGAAUAUCGUGGAAAAGCAGGUCCGGACUGGCCAUCGGGAGCACCAGGAGAAUUCCCAGUGGCCUGACAACUGAUUUGGCCUGCUGCCCUGCUGUUUUUUUAUUUUUAAUUUAUUUUAUAUUAUUGCAUGUCCUAUGUACUUGAGUUUUGGACUUUGGCAUUUGAUAAUAAAUCGAAAUAAAUCACUACCAUUCUCCUCAGCUCCGGUGAACAGUUUUGAACAGAGUGCUCAAUGCACAGAGCGAGGAUGGAGAGGAAAGGGCCAGGUGGAGCAGAAAGAAAGCCCUCUGAAAAGAAGCAGCAAAAAUGUAACAAAAUUACUGACCUGUUCAGGGCUUCAAGUGCAGGUCAGUCUCCUCUGUAAAUAUUGUAGCUUUGUGUUCGCUAACUUAGCUAAAUAAGUAUUAACCAAAGGUGCACUACUCACAAAUGUUAGCACUAUUACUAUCGUCACUCAAAAUAUGCUAAAGGACAACAUUAUCUACUGAAUAGUUAUAAUACUAAGUAAUUUAGCAGACAAAUAUCCAAAUUUA
ensembl:lncRNA